UUUAUAGGCCACGGCUACCUCUCCUCCCCUUGGCCUGGGUCAUUUGAAAUCAAAGAGCACACAUUUUGUUCUUCUUGCUUAUUUUUCCUUGUUCUUCAUCUCCCGCGCCCAUCAUUGAUCUUCUUCGACUCCGUCAUCGUCUCUUCGUACUUGGAGACACUUCGAGCAAUCUCUGCAAAGGCAACCAUACGCCUUCCGGCCAGUCAAGUAGUGUCUCCUCGUUGCAAUGUUACCCACAUGGAUAUAUAAGUACAUAAACAGUCGUGGUAUAUAGAUAACAUAUUCCAUCAGACCAUGCAAUCUACUCAAAGGGGUCGCAUUAGUUGGGUCAUCACAUGAUGAUUCGUUGAUUGCUGAGUCAAUUGUUAUUUCCUUAGUGCUAUCUCACAUUUGUGGUAAUAACAGAUUCGAUCGUGCCAAGGAAUCUACUCAAAUAUGUCCUAUUGGUCACAUGAUUUGUGGCUAAGGUUUUUCACAUGAUUCGUGGCUAAGGUUUAGUGUCAUUUUCAGUUAUGUAAUUCUAUAUAUACACGGCUGGUAUUAUUCCCUUGGGGUAAGGAGGAAGACAAAUGUUUGGCUUUUCAAA